rnacentral:misc_RNA from 1 species
GUGAAAAGGAGAACAAGCUUCAGGCGGCUCUCGUGCAGGGGGGCGCUAGUUCACCGAACCUCCAGGGGCCGAUCAGCCUCGGUGCGACAAUUUACGCUUCGAGGUUUGCGGUGAAUGCGCUCAAGGCGUUGAGACGAAACGGGACAAGGAAGGCGCGGUUGCAAGAGAGGAUGCCUGUCAUGUUGUUGCAGAAGCCUUCUGAGCCCGACUUCACAUCCGAAGAACGCUAGCGUUGUCG